rnacentral:rRNA from 1 species
UACAGAGGGUGCGAGCGUUAAUCGGAAUUACUGGGCGUAAAGCGUGCGUAGACGGUUAUUUAAGUCGGAUGUGAAAGCCCCGGGCUCAACCUGGGAAUUGCAUUCGAGACUGAAUAGCUAGGGUGCGGUAGAGGGAAGCGGAAUUUCCGGUGUAGCGGUGAAAUGCGUAGAUAUCGGAAGGAACAUCAGUGGCGAAAGCGGCUUCCUGGACCAGCACCGACGUUCAGGCACGAAAGCGUGGGGAUCAAACAGG